GUGACCAGGACUUGGGGCGGAGCUGAAGAACAUCCUGAGCGUGGGGAAAGAGAGAGAGAGUCUGGUUCUGUGGAGACGAGCCAUGGUGGGAGAAGUGGAGAAGUCAUUAUGAUGGUCUUGAUCGGAUAGAGAAGAAAAGGCUCCGGUCAGAGAAGACGCCCGUGAAAAAGAGUCCUUGAAGCAUCAAAACAAGCCCGGCAAUCUGCAAUGCUGUGAAGGCUUAGCUGUAUUAUAUUCUGCUCUACAAAUCCCUGCCACCGAGACAUCUCACGAUGGGGCUUGUACCCUUUCAUACAAAAGACACAAGAAUCUGCUAAGUGUUUCACAUCAGCAAAUAUCAAGGAAAUACCUGGUUUGCAUUCUGUUCUACUAGCAAAGGUCUUUGAAAAUCUUUUCUAGGAUCUGAUUGUUGAAAGGUAACAAUAAAGAGAUGAGUAUGGAACAAUAUCAAAAGCAUUCGACUUACAAUGGAACAUUACAGCAGGUGUGGGAGCUAAAUGCCACAUACAGGGGGCAGUACGCUACAUAUGUACUUAUGUAGUUAUUUGUAGAUGGACCUUGAGAUGGUUGGAAGAGUUAACAUCCCAUAUUCUACAUUAAAUAACAAUGCAAUAUAAACUAUACAUUCACACCAAACUAACAAUGUGCAUCUCUAGUUCUAACCUAUCAUGUAUAGUUAGCAUUUAGCAUAUUAUGUACUCACUUUGAAGCAGGAUAAAUUAUGAUUGUCUU